GGCCGUGUGGCGAAAUGGCAUCGCGUCUGACUACGAUUCAACGCGCAUCAGGAGAUUGCAGGUUCGACCCCUGUCUCGGUCA
rnacentral:tRNA from 1 species